rnacentral:rRNA from 1 species
ACACUGACGUCGCGACGCAUAUCAAUAAGCGGAGGAAAAGAAACUAACAAGGAUUCCCUUAGUAACGGCGAGUGAAGCGGGAAGAGCUCAAAUUUGAAAUCUUCAAGGUUCUACCUUGACGAAUUGUAGUUUAAAGAAGUGUUUUCUGUUAGAUGAGUAGCAAAAGUUCCUUGGAAUGGGACAUCAUAGAGGGUGAGAAUCCCGUAUUUGGUUAUUCAUUCUAGCUUUGUGAUACACUUUCAAAGAGUCGGAUUGUUUGGGAAUGCAGUCCAAAAUGGGUGGUAAAUUUCAUCUAAAGCUAAAUAUUGGCGAGAGACCGAUAGCGAACAAGUACCGUGAGGGAAAGAUGAAAAGAACUUUGAAAAGAGAGUUAAACAGUACGUGAAAUUGUCAAAAGGGAAGCGUUUGACACCAGUGUUGUUUUUCCGAAAAUCAAUUAUAAAUGUUUUGUUUCUGAGGAGUGAUGACUUCAUCGGCUUCCUUCUCUCUUCACGAAACUUUUGUAAUGCACUUUUCGGUUAACAAGUCAACAUCAAUUUCUUUUGUUGUAAAAGAGGUCAUUCGGAAGGUGGCUUUCUUUUCGGAGAAAGUGUUUAUAGCCCUAUGACUUCUGCAAUCGGAGAGAUUGAGGUCUGCAGCGUAGAUCCUUCGGGGUUAGAUACAUUUGUGCUAAGUUAUAGCCUUUCAUAGACAACUUGUUGACUAUGAUCAGUCAUGUAGCUUACUCGCUUAUGCUAUUUUACCUACGCUUAGGAUGUUAAGUCGUAGAGCACGCAG